rnacentral:tRNA from 2 species
GCGGAUGUGGUGGAAUUGGUAGACACGCCAGAUUUAGGUUCUGGUGCCGUGAGGCGUGGGGGUUCAAGUCCCUUCAUCCGUACCA